CACCCUCUCUUUGUUUUUCCUGCACAGCACAAUACAGCAUUGUUGAUUGCCAGCUGGAAACCAGAGUACAAACCAGUUCUACUCCAGGGCCAGAUUCUGCCACUUUUAUUCAUGCUGAGUGGUACGUUAUCCUGCAGACAAUCCCACUGGAAUACGUGAGUGAAAUACUAGAUGUACUGAAGUCAAUGGCAAAACUCCCACAGACUUCAUCCAGGAUUUCACCAAUGGUCCUUUCUGUAAAGGAAGAGAAGAUGAAACAACUGAGGGUUCCUGAACUCCUUUCACAGACAGCAUGUGCCAUGACCACCAUUAGUGUUGAGGAAACCUGCCUGCUGCUCAAUGGAUUUGAAAUGACCAUUAACUUUCCCUCCAUCCAUGGUUAUAAGCCUGAUACUGCCACCCUGGAGAUCAACAGGCCAUCAUUCAGUACCUUUGGAUAUAAUGUAACCAACUCAGAGAAAUAGUUGUUCUUUCGAAAAUAAGAGGUUAGAUCUACUUGCAUCUUGUGUAAAUCCACAGAAAGCAAUGGAGUUAUUCUGUAUUUAUACAGUUGUAAGCAAUCUGAGAAUCCAGCCCGUAACCUCAUGAAUACCCAGCUUCAACCUUAGUAAAUAUAUGAGUUUAAGAGAGGUUGAGCUACUAGCACUCAUGUGAAUUGAGGGCAGACCGGUUCCCACCCCACCCCUUCACAAAGCUGAGCAGUUUGCAGUGUGAAUUGACUUUUUUUUUUUUCUAAAAACAUCCUCCUUCUUUUUAUAAGGGCCAUUCACAGGAGCCAAACACCAUGAUCACAAUGAAGAGAGAUGAUUACGAUGGAGUGUAGUGGGACUGGAAGCCAGAGAGUACAUACAGCAGCCAUAACAUAGGGUUGUCAACCAAAGGCAAGGCUAGUCAUGUUGGAGCUUUGAUUAUAAGUGUGCUGGGAUGGGAACACUAGGGGAAGUUUAAUGAGAGGCUGUUGAAGUAGAAAAACACAUUGACUGGCAGACAUUUAUAAAUUGCCAUAAUUCACAAGUUAAUUAGCACUGCAUAAUGGUGAACAAGAACUGUCAACUCCCCCCGCCUCCCUCCCAAAACAAAACAAAACAUACAAACAAAAAUUCAUGG
rnacentral:lncRNA from 1 species